rnacentral:rRNA from 1 species
AAUGAACGCUGGCGGCAGGCCUAACACAUGCAAGUCGAGCGAGCGGCGGACGGGUGAGUAAUGUCUGGGAAACUGCCUGAUGGAGGGGGAUAACUACUGGAAACGGUAGCUAGUACCGCAUACCAUCAGAUGUGCCCAGAUGGGAGUAGCUAGUAGGUGGGGUAACGGAUCACCUAGGCGACGAUCCCUAGCUGGUCUGAGAGGAUGACCAGCAACACUGGACCUGAGACACGGUCCAGCUUCCUACGGGAGGCAGCAGUGGGUAAUAUUGCACAAUGGGGACAAGCCUGAUGCAGCCAUGCGGCGUGGGUGAAGAAGGCCUUCGGGUUGUAAAGCACUUUCAGCGGGGAGGCGUUACCCGCAGAAGAAGCACCGGCUAACUCCGUGCCAGCAGCCGCGGUAAUAC